rnacentral:rRNA from 1 species
GAUGAACGCUGGCGGCGUGCCUAAUACAUGCAAGUCGAGCGAACGGACGAGAAGCUUGCUUUUCUGAUGUUAGCGGCGGACGGGUGAGUAACACGUGGAUAACCUACCUAUAAGACUGGGAUAACUUCGGGAAACCGGAGCUAAUACCGGAUAAUAUUUUGAACCGCAUGGUUCAAAAGUGAAAGACGGUCUUGCUGUCACUUAUAGAUGGAUCCGCGCUGCAUUAGCUAGUUGGUAAGGUAACGGCUUACCAAGGCAACGAUGCAUAGCCGACCUGAGAGGGUGAGCGGCCAGACGGGAACUGAGACACGGUCCAGACUCAUACGGGAGGCAGCAGUAGGGAAUCUUCCGCAAAGGGCGAAAGCCUGACGGAGCAACGCAGCGUGAGUGAUGAAGGUCUUCGGAUCGUAAAACUCUGUUAUUAGGGAAUAACAUAUGUGUAAGUAACUGUGCACAUCUUGACGGUGCCUAAUCAGAAAGCCACGGCUAACUACGUG